UACAGAGGUCUCAAGCGUUGUUCGGAUUCAUUGGGCGUAAAGAGCUCGUAGGCGGCUUGUCGCGUCGACUGUGAAAUCCCGCGGCUCAACUGCGGGUCUGCAGUCGAUACGGGCAGGCUAGAGUUCGGUAGGGGAGACUGGAAUUCCUGGUGUAGCGGUGAAAAUGCGCAGAUAUCAGGAGGAACACCGGUGGCGAAGGCGGGUCUCUGGGCCGAUACUGACGCUGAGGAGCGAAAAGCGUGGGGGAGCGAACAGG
rnacentral:rRNA from 1 species